rnacentral:lncRNA from 1 species
GGGUUGCUAAAUAUGCCCUUUUUACUCCCGAAUUUUAUCUUAAUGGAGCUAGGCUCGUUACAACUUCUUGAAGCUUGAGCUCGGCUCGAUUCGAGCCUUGGAUUUUGGGCUCGAGCUCUGCUCGUUAGUAAAAUUUAAAACUCGAGCUCGGCUCAAAAGCUCGAUCUAAGUAUCUAUGGCGCGAGUUAAAACAAGCUAAAACUCGACUCGAAAGCUCGUUUUUGGUUGUUAUUGAGCCAAGGCUCGACUCGAGCUUGGCUCGACAGUUUGAGAACUCAAUUAAAAAAACAUCUAGAUCAUUCAAAAAGUAAUAAAUAGCUUAAACCAUAAAGUAUACUAAGUUCGAUAAGGCUCGACGAGCCUAAACGAGCUACACUUACAAGGCUCGAACUCGGGCUCGAUAUCUAAUUGAUCCUAAAUUCAAGCUCGGACUCGAGCUCGAGCUCAAUAAGGCUCGGCUCGUUCAAGCUUUUUAUCGAGCCGAUCUCAAGUAGCUCUCGAUCUGCUCGGCUCGUUUGUACCUCUACUUAUAUCCUUCCCCUUAAGUUGAUAAUACAUUUCAAAAUCUUCUAUUUUUAUCUUAUUUUUCUGUUUUAUUUUUGUUCUUUUUUGUUUUCGUUUUUAUUCUCAGUGAAUUCAAGUUUCCUAUACAAUAUAAUUAUGUGGGUAUGUUUUGCCCACUUCUACUUCUUUACAAAAGUUAUAAAUUAUGUGGAUUUAAUCCUUAUCGGUGUAAUGUUAGAUGGUAUUUAAAUAUAAAAGAAGUUAGUGUUAAAAAAAACUACGUUAAAAAUAUAUAUAACUAGUUGGAUUUCUCCGCGCUACGCAGCGGGAACUCAGUUGAUAUUGGUUCGGUUUGUUAUAGUAUCGAGUGCUACAGCAACAGUUAGAUAAAAUCAAAAAAAAAAAAAAAAAUCGUGAUAUACACACUAGACUAUCCAUACAUGUUUUUUAUCUAGCGAAUACCAUAAAGACGAAUACCUAUCGGAACGUCAAUAUCAGUUUGGUUCCAUACGAUAUGGUGCGAUAUCAUUACGGUAUUACGGUGAUACUCAUAUAGUUUGCUAUGAAAAAACAAUAGUUUGUUUUUAAUACAAAUCCACUUAAAAAAGAACGUUAUAUCGCAUUAUUGCCAAAAAAAAUAAAAUAAACAUAUCUACGUAUUUUUUUUCUAAACUAACGAACGUAAAUGAUU